rnacentral:rRNA from 1 species
CCUACGGGCGGCAGCAGUGAGGAAUAUUGGUCAAUGGACGAGAGUCUGAACCAGCCAAGUAGCGUGAAGGAUGACUGCCCUAUGGGUUGUAAACUUCUUUUAUAUGGGAAUAAAAUGUUCCACGUGUGGGAUUUUGUAUGUACCAUAUGAAUAAGGAUCGGCUAACUCCGUGCCAGCAGCCGCGGUAAUACGGAGGAUCCGAGCGUUAUCCGGAUUUAUUGGGUUUAAAGGGAGCGUAGGUGGAUUGUUAAGUCAGUUGUGAAAGUUUGCGGCUCAACCGUAAAAUUGCAGUUGAAACUGGCAGUCUUGAGUACAGUAGAGGUGGGCGGAAUUUGUGGUGUAGCGGUGAAAUGCUUAGAUAUCACGAAGAACUCCGAUUGCGAAGGCAGUUCACUGGACUGCAACUGACACUGAGGCUCGAAAGUGUGGGUAUCAAACAGGAUUAGAUACCCGGGUAGUC